rnacentral:rRNA from 1 species
CCCUUAGAUGUUCUGGGCUGCACGCGUGCUACACUGAUAUUGCCAAUAUGUCAUUCUUAUCCGAAAUGGAUUGGGUAAUCAAGUAAUGAAAUUUCAUGCUUGGAAUCGGUAAUUGCAAUUUUAUCGUGAACGAGGAAUUCCUAGUAAGCACUAGUCAUCAGCUAAUGUUGAUUAUGUCCCUGCCCUUUGUACACACCGCCCGUCGCUACUACUGAUUGGGUGUUCCAGUGAGAUGCUUAGACCCUUGUUGCAUGGUUCAUUAUUGUGCUCCGAAAGGAAAAAGUUUCAAGCUUGAGUGUCUAGAGGAAGUAAAAGUCGUAACA